UACAGAGGGUGCAAGCGUUAGUCGGAGUUACUGGGCGUAAAGGGCGUGUAGGCUGAUAUCUAAGUCAGCUGUGAAAUCCUCGGGCUUAACCUGGGAACUGCAGUUGAUACUGGACGUCUAGAGUAUGAUAGAGGGAAGUGGAAUUCUCGGUGUAGUGGUUAAAUACGUAGAUAUCGAGAGGAACACCGGUGGCGAAAGCGGCUUCCUUGGUCAAUACUGACGCUGAGGCGCGAAAGCGUGGGGAGCAAAC
rnacentral:rRNA from 1 species